UGGGGAAUCUUGCGCAAUGGCCGCAAGGCUGACGCAGCGACGCCGCGUGCGGGAGGACGCCCCUCGGGGUGUAAACCGCUGUCGCCCGGGGCGAACCGGGGGUUUCGACCCCCCUGACGGUACCGGGCGAGGAAGCGCCGGCUAACUCCGUGCCAGCAGCCGCGGUAAUACGGAGGGCGCGAGCGUUGUCCGGAAUCACUGGGCGUAAAGGGCGCGUAGGCGGCCCCUCGAGCGUGUGGUGAAAGCCCGGGGCUCAACCCCGGGUCGGCCGUGCGGACUGGGGGGCUGGAGCACUGUAGGGGCGGGCGGAAUUCCGGGUGUAGCGGUGGAAUGCGUAGAGAUCCGGAAGAACACCGGUGGCGAAGGCGGCCCGCUGGGCAGGGAGGCUCGCAAGAGCCGGCUGACGCUGAGGCGCGACAGCGUGGGGAGCAAACAGG
rnacentral:rRNA from 1 species